rnacentral:rRNA from 1 species
UACGUAGGGUGCAAGCGUUGUCCGGAAUUAUUGGGCGUAAAGAGCUCGUAGGCGGUCUGUUGCGUCGGCUGUGAAAACCCGAGGCUCAACCUCGGGCCUGCAGCCGAUACGGGCAGACUAGAGUUCGGCAGGGGAGACUGGAAUUCCUGGUGUAGCGGUGAAAUGCGCAGAUAUCAGGAGGAACACCGGUGGCGAAGGCGGGGUCUC